AUAAAGUAUAACAUUUCAUGAAGCAGAAUCAAAGGAACAAAAAGGCCAUUCAUUCAGAAAAUUUCAAAUACAUAGGAGUCAUUCGAAGGAAGUGUACAUUGAAGCUAAAAUACCAAAUGGAACUAAUAAAUCAGUUCAGAGAGCAAAAACAGCAGCAAUAAACCAGUCAACUUCAGCAGUUUCCCAUAAGGUUAAACUUCAAACCAGCAUCCAAGCAAGAAAAUACCCCAGAAUUGGACUAAGAACUAAAAAAAUCUUCUGUUUUCAAACCAUGUUUUGAAUAAGAGGCUUCUUAGAUUUUCAAAAGUUAUUUUUGGGACUGAAAUUUUGCAGAAGACUCAGGAGCUUUUCAGAGAGAAUUUUUUGACUGAUAUCAUAUAUUCUGACCUCCUUUUGAGAGUGGGGAAUUGUUUCUUUACAUAGAGUGCACCAAAGAGCAUCAAAAAUG
rnacentral:lncRNA from 1 species